CACGUAGGGUGCGAGCGUUGUCCGGAAUUAUUGGGCGUAAAGAGCUCGUAGGCGGUGUGUCACGUCGGCCGUGAAAACCUGCAGCUUAACUGUGGGCGUGCGGUCGAUACGGGCAUCACUGGAGUUCGGCAGGGGAGACUGGAAUUCCUGGUGUAGCGGUGAAAUGCGCAGAUAUCAGGAGGAACACCAGUGGCGAAGGCGGCACUCUGGGCCGGUACUGACGCUGAGGAGCGAAAGCGUGGGGAGCGAACAGG
rnacentral:rRNA from 1 species